rnacentral:lncRNA from 1 species
GACACUACAAAGGCAGUAUUCCCAUCAUUCUUCUGUACAGGAUGCAGUUUCUCAGCUGGAUUCUGAGCUGAUGGACAUAACUAAGCUUUAUGGGGAAUUUGCUGACCCAUUUAAACUUGCAGAGUGCAAACUUGCAAUAAUUCAUUGUGCCGGUUAUUCAGACCCUAUAUUGGUGCAGACACUUUGGCAAGAUAUCAUAGAGAAAGAAUUGAGUGACAGUGUGACAUUGAGCUCCUCGGAUAGAAUGCAUGCUCUUAGUCUCAAGAUUGUUCUCCUUGGCAAAAUUUAUGCUGGCACACCACGCUUCUUUCCUUUAGAUUUUAUUGUACAGUUUUUAGAACAGCAGGUUUGUACUUUGAACUGGGAUGUGGGCUUCGUAAUACAGACAAUGAAUGAAAUUGGAGUACCAUUACCUAGACUACUAGAAGUUUAUGAUCAGUUGUUCAAAUCACGGGAUCCAUUCUGGAACAGAAUGAAGAAGCCACUGCACCUUUUGGAUUGUAUACAUGUAUUAUUGACAAGAUAUGUUGAGAAUCCCAGCCAAGUUUUAAAUUGUGAAAGGUGAGAAGAUUUACAAAUCUCUGCCUGGAUGCUGUUUGUGGUUACCUUGUUGAGCUCCAGUCUAUGAGCUCGUCAGUAGCAGUACAAGCCAUCACUGGGAAUUUUAAAUCUCUUCAAGCUAAAUUAGAACGGCUUCAUUAAUUACUGUGAUAUACUUUCAUCCAUUUUAUGAUCUAUAAAAUAAAAACUCAGCUGGGUCCAGAUAUCAGGUGUUCUAAAUCUAAGAAUGUAAGAACAAUCUUAAUAGAAAUAUGUUUUUAAUAAGUGGCUACUAUCUACAAAUAGUACCUUUGCUAAAUGAAUUCUUUUUUAUGACUAUUU